AGCUAAAUCAGGAUGGGCCGGAACGAUGAGUGGUCAUAGCGUGACACUUCGUGACUGAAACAGAUCGCAUUUUUCACAUACACCAGCACUAUAUAACCCAGGGUUCUAGUUAGAGACACAAGGUUCUCUGUUGACAAGGUUAGCUCCCGUAACUUCCGCCGAGCUUCAUCAUGAAGGUUCUGUGUCUCCUGGUUCUCGUGGCUGCCGCCUAUGCUGCCCCAAGGGAAAUGAACGAUGCCGAGAAACGUGUCUUUCUGGACACUUUCAGCCAUCUCUUUAACCUCGACACCCUGAAGUCAACCUUCUGCGGAAUCGUGGCUCUGGGUGGAAGUUCCGAUACCGAGACCCAGUGCGAGUCUCUGUGCCACCAGGUGCUGUCAGGUGAAACAGUAGCUCAGAACCUUCUACACAGCGGAUGUCCUCUGAUCUGUAAUUCGUUCCAGUCUCUAAUCCAUCUCAUCCCGUGCGACAAAAUACUCGGCGUCACACCCUCCGCCUGAACAUGUCACUACAGGCAAUGUAAAUAAAGACUGGUUACUAUAAAAUCUU
rnacentral:misc_RNA from 1 species